AUACGGAGGGUGCAAGCGUUAAUCGGAAUUACUGGGCGUAAAGCGUACGUAGGCGGUUUAUUAAGUUAGAUGUGAAAGCCCCGGGCUUAACCUGGGAACUGCAUUUAAAACUGGCGAACUAGAGUUGAGUAGAGGGGAGUGGAAUUUCAGGUGUAGCGGUGAAAUGCGUAGAGAUCUGAAGGAACACCAGUGGCGAAGGCGACUCCCUGGACUCGAACUGACGCUGAGGUACGAAAGCGUGGGUAGCAAACGGGAUUAGAAACCCCAGUAGUCC
rnacentral:rRNA from 1 species